UGGUUCUCGCAUCGAUGAAGAACGCAGCGAAAUGCGAUAAGUAAUGUGAAUUGCAGAAUUCAGUGAAUCAUCGAAUCUUUGAACGCACCUUGCACCUUUUGGCAUUCCGAAAGGUACAUCUGUUUGAGUGUCAUGUAUACCUCAACCUCUACAUUUUCUUGUUAAAGUGUAGUAGCGUUGGAUGCUGAGCGUUGCUGUUUGCCUUUCGAGCACAGCUCGCUUCAAAUGCAUAAGCAAUCUUUGUACUCCUCGGAUUGACUUGACGUGAUAAGAUCUUCGUCGAGGAUGCUUUCAAUAGCAGCCGGAUUGUACACUAGUCGCUUCUAAACCGAGUCGCCCUAGUGCGAUGCUCCUUUUAAUUUAGACCUCAAAUCAGAUGGGACUACCCGCUGA
rnacentral:misc_RNA from 1 species